UGCAAGUCGAGCGGACAGAUGGGAGCUUGCUCCCUGAUGUUAGCGGCGGACGGGUGAGUAACACGUGGGUAACCUGCCUGUAAGACUGGGAUAACUCCGGGAAACCGGGGCUAAUACCGGAUGGUUGUUUGAACCGCAUGGUUCAGACAUAAAAGGUGGCUUCGGCUACCACUUACAGAUGGACCCGCGGCGCAUUAGCUAGUUGGUGAGGUAACGGCUCACCAAGGCGACGAUGCGUAGCCGACCUGAGAGGGUGAUCGGCCACACUGGGACUGAGACACGGCCCAGACUCCUACGGGAGGCAGCAGUAGGGAAUCUUCCGCAAUGGACGAAAGUCUGACGGAGCAACGCCGCGUGAGUGAUGAAGGUUUUCGGAUCGUAAAGCUCUGUUGUUAGGGAAGAACAAGUGCCGUUCAAAUAGGGCGGCACCUUGACGGUACCUAACCAGAAAGCCACGGCUAACUACGUGCCAGCAGCCGCGGUAAUACGUAGGUGGCAAGCGUUGUCCGGAAUUAUUGGGCGUAAAGGGCUCGCAGGCGGUUUCUUAAGUCUGAUGUGAAAGCCCCCGGCUCAACCGGGGAGGGUCAUUGGAAACUGGGGAACUUGAGUGCAGAAGAGGAGAGUGGAAUUCCACGUGUAGCGGUGAAAUGCGUAGAGAUGUGGAGGAACACCAGUGGCGAAGGCGACUCUCUGGUCUGUAACUGACGCUGAGGAGCGAAAGCGUGGGGAGCGAACAGGAUUAGAUACCCUGGUAGUCCACGCCGUAAACGAUGAGUGCUAAGUGUUAGGGGGUUUCCGCCCCUUAGUGCUGCAGCUAACGCAUUAAGCACUCC
rnacentral:rRNA from 1 species